GACGAACGCUGGCGGCGUGCUUAACACAUGCAAGUCGAACGGAAAGGCCCUGCUUCUGUUGUGUGCUCGAGUGGCGAACGUGUGAGUAACACGUGUGUAACCUGCCUUUUACUCUCGGAUAUCUUCUGGAAACUGGGGCUAAUACCGGUUAUUAGCUCCUGCUGCAUGGUGUGGGUUGGAAAGUUUCGGCGGUUGGGCAUGGACUCGCGGCUUAUCGGCCUGGUGGUGGGGUAGUGGCUUAGCAAGGCUUCGACGGGUAGCCGGCCUGAGAGGGUGACCGGGCAAAUGGGGACAGAGAUACGGCCGGGACUCGUGCGGGAGGCAGCAGUGGGGAAUAAGGCACAAUGGGCGGACGCCGGAUGGGGGAUCGCGGCGUGCGGGUGGUAGGCCUUCGGGGAGUAAGCGGAAUUCGCCUGUGAGGAAGGGUGGGUGAGGGGGAUGGAGAAGGAAGAACGGGUUACUUAGGU
rnacentral:rRNA from 1 species